rnacentral:misc_RNA from 1 species
AGCAGCCGCGGUAAUUCCAGCUCCAAUAGCGUAUAUUAAAGUUGUCGCAGUUAAAAGCUCGUAGUUGAAUUUCGGGAUCAGUACGCUGGUCAUGCCUUUGGUAUGCACUGGUGUCACUGGUUUCUCCCUUCUGAAGAUCCGUGAUGUCAUUAAUUUGGUGUCGCGGGGAAUCAGGACUGUUACUUUGAAAAAUUAGAGUGUUUAAAGCAGGCUCACGCUUGAAUACAUUAGCAUGGAAUAAUGAAAUAGGACGUUUGACCCUAUUUUGUUGGUUUCUAGGAUCGACGUAAUGAUUAAUAGGGAUAGUUGGGGGCAUUAGUAUUCAAUUGUCAGAGGUGAAAUUCUUGGAUUUAUUGAAGACUAACUACUGCGAAAGCAUUUGCCAAGGAUGUUUUCAUUAAUCAAGAACGAAAGUUAGGGGAUCGAAGACGAUCAGAUACCGUCGUAGUCUUAACCAUAAACUAUGCCGACUAGGGAUCGGAUGAUGUUAAUUUUAUAAUGACU